rnacentral:lncRNA from 1 species
GACAAUGCGAAACGUGUAUGAUUACAUGUUCCAUUUGUUGAACGAAUACUCUAAACUCUUGAAGUUUAAACCAACAAUACCUCCAAAUGCCCAAAAGCUCUGCUCCGAAACCACGGAGCAAGGUUUAUGGAAGGAAUUCAUGGUGCAGUCAAUUGUGAAGUCUCCUAGUGAUAAACCUCCAUGUGCAUUGCCUCCCCCAUUUGAACCUCAAGCCAUUCAAGCUUCUCUGGACGUAAAAGAGAAUAAAACUAGGCAAACGGAGACGUGGGAAACCGAGUAUUGGAAAAAACUAAAACAUAAGAAGCAUUAGAUGGUUAGAAACCAAACCUCUUUAAUUAGUUUAGCCAAUUAAGAAAAUAUCAGUAUAUUCCAGGCUACAGCAGCUACAGCUUGGUGUUUAUAUGUUACACAUAACAGUCUCAAAGUUCGAAGAGCUAUGGGAUCAUAUUAGUGAGUUGAAAUCUAGUAGCGAGAGGAGAGGACGGGCAGUUCAUAGUUUAAUUCUGGAACCUCUGAUUUUAAUGAUUGUAUUGAUCACUGUGAACUGUUGGAUUGGGCAAAAGAUUCUCCUGAUUUGGUGGAUGGCGUCAACCAUUUGGAGUGUAUGAUUAACGAGAAAUAAAGCUUUGGAAGGUAGAAGAAAUUAUUCAUUUGGCAAUACGUAGAGCUUUCCACUGGAUGGGGUGAUCUUAGCUGGAACUUGGUGGUGGCAGAGUGUGUAAGGGUUAACUCGAUGGGGAGGAGCUCCUCAGUUUGGCUGCUAGAAAUUUAAGGUGGAUGCGUCGGAGUCAUGGAACUAGUUUGUGCAAGGGUAAAAGGUGUACUCCGUCCGUGAUCAUGUUGUGUGGUUGGCACACUAGAAUUUUUUGGUGAUUAGCUCCUUGUUUAUGGUAUUUUUCACUGUUUCUUAUCUCUUGUUCAGUUUUCAUUUUGCUUGUAUAGUUAAUAGGUAUUCUUUUCAAAGGUUAAAAUAUAAAAUUUUAUUGUUUAGUUUACAGAACGUAAAAGGAAUGAAAAAAAGUUGUUAAAUUUUACUGAGUUAACUAUAGAAAAAUAAUUAAGAAAAAUAAUAAUAUAUUAAGUAUUAAAUUUUGUGAACUAAUAAAUAGUUAAUAAUUAAAAAUUCACUUAUAAUAAUUAAUUGGAUAAAUCGAUAUGUUUUAAAUUAUGUUUUUUCUCAAUACACUCUAAAAUAUUAUGAUAUGGUCACAAACAUUAUCAAUUUGUUAUAUUUUAAGCAUUGAAUUAUAUUAGUGUAACGGAAGAUUGACAUGAUACAUCACCAUUUUAUACGAAAAUUUUAAGUUAAAUUGCACAAUUAGUAAAGCAUAUUUGUGCUCUCAUGUAACAUAAAUUAUUAUUUUUCACUAAAGUUACUGCGUAUUAUAAUUUUCUAGUAAUGGAAAAAAGAGAAGAGGAAAACUUCAUUUAAGAAAGCCAAGCACCAUAGCAAACUCCUCUUAACCCACACCAUCUUACGUUAACUACAUUUUCUGUGAAUACAAGAUGCCUGUUUCAUACAAUAUAACCAGCGAUGGAAGUCUAUAUUAGUAGGUCAUGUCGAGGUCCACUGGAAACUCGCACCUGUUCUUGCAGACAUUAUGAAACUGAGUACAUCACUAAAUAUUUCUAUUGAGCAACCUUCACACCACCUCACUCAUACAGUACACAGAUGAUGAGGCAAGUGAUCACAGCCACGGGACAACUUGCUAAGGAUUGGGAAGCCUAAUUACCUAAUGUACUACUGUUUGCUAAAUUUGCUUCUACCAGAAAAAAAAGAAAGAAGGCCAAGCUCCAUGCGUUACAUAUAUAAAUAAACUCUAUCUAAUAAUAAUAAUUGUUAUAUGAUUAUUAUAAAAAUAACUUAAUUCAAAAUUCAACCUUUAUUAUAUAAUAAAAUUCUACAAAUAUCUUAAAAGAAGAUCGAUUUUUUCUUCUUUAUUACUAGACCAAAAUUUCUUCUAUCACGAUUAUAUAAUAAGAUUUUAUAGAAUUAAUUUUUUCUUCUUUAUUACUAGAUGAGAAUCUCCUCUACUACGAUUCAUUGAUACAAUGUAUUAACAAUAAUAAUAAUAUAGAAGAGAAAAAAGGGACAACAAAAACGAUAGUAGAGCAUGAGUCAUCAUCACCACGAAAAGAAAAGUCCUACAUGGUCUAGUACUUACGGGGGAAAAUUAACAUGAGAAAAUGGUAAUUAAUUAAUUGAUUGGGGACAAAUGGCUUGUUAUUGGUGAUUAAACAAAAAUGCAUUUACACCCUGUUUUCCUCAUCCUUCUUCUAGCAGUCUAAUCAACGAAUAAAAAAAAAGCGCAGUCAUAUUCUCUGCUUUUUGUUAAAAAUGUUCUAAAACUUUUUAUUAUUUAUAAAAAUGAUUUAUUUUAAAAAUUAUGUAAGUAAAUGACUCAUUUUGAAUAGUAAAUAUUUGUGAUAUCAUUUUUAUUGGCGUCACCACCUCAAACUUAGAAAAACAACAAUUUUUUUGGAUGAUGCCAUUGCCAUUGACCAUACUGAAGUGAAGUAUAAUUUUAAAAAAAAAAUUAAGGGCGUGAUGAGAUAAUUACCCUUUUAGAUUUGAUGAAUAUACAGUGGCUCCAUCCCUCAAAAUUAAAUUAAAUUAAAUUAACCUUUAAAAAUAUAAAAAUAACAAAAAUAAACUCUUUUUUCAAAUUUUAUUAUUUUUUACAAACAAUAAUCUUAAAAAUUAUAUAAAAUUAAAUUAUCUAAAUAUAUCCCUAAAAAAUUUUCUAAAAAAAAGAGAAGAAUUUAAAGCUUGAGAAAGAUAUAUUUAAGUAAUUUAAAUAAAAAUUUUAUAUAAUUUUUUAAGUUUAUUGUUGUUUCUUUUUCUUCCUCACAUGUCUCUGCUUUUUCGUCUAACCAAAUCCUUUGACUUUUCCCUUCUAAGAAAAGCUUAUUCAACUGUGCAAGUGGCGGUGAGAGUUGUAAUUGUAGGUCCACAAAAUUUGGGAUGAGGAUGCAUAGUCCCUUCUCGUCCAGUGAUUAUGCAAAACCAAGUUUGACUGUUAGAUAAUAUCCUAUCUCAAUUUUCUCUUCAUAGGCCUAAAAUUAAUAAUAGCUGAAAUUUUAGGUUCAUAAAAAUUGGGAUCAUUAUGCAUAGUCCCUUCUUGUCCAGUGGUUAUAUGAAAACCAAAUUUGACUAUUAGAUAAUAUCCUAUCUCAAUCUUCUCCUCAUAGGCCUAAAAUUAAUAAUUGAGACUCCAAAACUAUAAUAAAAUAAUUACAAAAGUUUUUAUAAUUAAGUAAUAUUUUAUAUAAUUUGUAUUACAUAAAAUAUGAGACAUUUAUUUUUUUUAAUUUGAUAUUAUUACGAAUAUUAUAAUAAUUUAUGUAAUUGAGUAACGUUUUAUCUAAUUUUUUAUUCGAUAAUAUUUUUUACAAUUAAAUAAUGUCUUGUGUAAGUACUAAAGAAUUAUAAUAAUUUGUAUAAUUGGACCUCCCUAAAAUCUCACCCUCUAAAUUUUCAUCCUUAUAAUUAAAAACUCGACCUAAAAAGCCAACCCUCUAAUUCAUCAUCCUCAUUGCCCUUAAAAAUAUAUAAAAUUUAGAUUUUUUUAAGAAAUAAAAUUUAGAUUUAAAUAUGAUAAAAAUGUUUAAAAUUAUAAUUUUUAAUUUUGAAAUAUCUAAGUCUCUAUUCUUGUAAUGAUUUAUUAAUCUUGAUCUAAUUAUUGAUGAUACCAUCUAAAUUUGUAGUUAAUAACACUAAAACAGUAACUAUAGAAAAGACAAAAUAAUCUUUUUAGUCUUCAGCAUUUCAAUUUUUUUAAAAAUUUGUUUCUAACAUUUUAAUAUAAGAAAUUAAAAACUAAAAAGUUUUAAAAGUUCCAUUUUUAAAAAAAAAUUAUAUUUUUUUAAUUUUUUAAAUUUUUUAAAAAAAUUCAUGAUUUUUGGAGAUAUAAAAAAAUUAUGGAAGAUUCUUUUUAAAAAUUAAAGAUUUAAAAACAAGAAUUUUCAACAAGUUUUCCAUAUUUUAAAAAAUCCAUAAAAAAGUAUAAUUUUCCAAAACUUAUGAAAAAUUUUAAAAAUAUAAAUAAAAAUAUAAAUACAUAUAUUUUAAAAAAAAUCAAGAAAUUAAAAAUAUAUAAUAAAUUAAAAAAUAUUUUUUAAAAAUUUUAAUUUUUAAGAUAAAAAUUGAGUGCCAAGAAGUUAUUUUUACUUUUUAUAAUUGCCACAUGGAUAAUGAAGUUUUUGGUUGGUGUAUUAAUGAGACCAAAAUUAUUAAAUCGUUAAAAUAAUUAAACAUUUUAAAUUUUAUAAAUUAUAUAUUUUAGAAAAAAAUAAAAAUAAAAAUAAAAAAUAAUUAAACAUUUUAGAAAUUUAAAAAUAUAUAAAUUUUAAAAAAUAAAAAUUAUAAAAAAAAUAGUUAAUCUUUUAGAAAAAGUUGGUUAACCUUUAGAAAAUUCAAAAAACAUUGAAAAAGACCACAUAUAUAUUCUAAAAAAAUUUAAAAAUAAAUUAAAAAUAACUGAGAUUGAAAGUUAUUCAACAUUGACUCAUAUUGACUAAAUGUUGAUCGACAAUAAAUGGUUGUCGAUCAAAGUCUAGUAAAUAUUCAAUCAACAUCAGUCAAUUGGUCAAAUGCUCGAUAAACUUUUAAUUUAUUUUAAAUUUUAAUUUAUUUUUGAAUGUAUUAGAUUUUUAGAAUUUAUAUAUCUAUUUUUGUAAUUUUCUAAAAUUAUUAGUACUUUUGAAAUAUAUAUAUAUGAUUUUUAGAAUUUUUUAUUAAUAUUUGUAAUUUAAAUCAUUCUCAAAAUUAUAAUUUUUAUUUAUGUGUAUAUAUAUCAAAUUAUAGAUUUUUUUUUUUAAAAAAAUACACAUUUUUGAAGUAUUUUAGUCCAUGUGGAUGUGAUGUACUGAUGUUAUUAUGUUGACAUAGACCCCAAAAAAAAAAAAACACACGGCAUGCUUUGAUAGGCGGGCAUGACCUUUGAGGGUUUUUUAAUAACGCCGUUAACUGGAGGAAUGAAAGAAGUGAAGUAGUUGGAAGGCGAAAUCAUGAGGAAGACCUAAAAAUAAAGCAAAAAAAAAAAAAAUGUUAAAUGUGAUUAGAUUAGAAGCAUAUUUAAACCUUGUUAAAGUCUCUGUCAAUGUUUCAUCAAACUUCCAGACACCUCAAAAAGUCAUUAGUUAUGUCUUCGGAAUAGAAUUUUCAUGUUAACCAUCACAAGUCAUGAAUUACAUCUAAUAUUUUUCAAAUGAAUUUAAGCCCAUAUUUUCCCCUCAAGGCACGUUGUAAUGGAAACCUUCCCUUUCUACAAUAUCAAAAACACUGCUGCUUUGCCUACUUUUGACCUUGUGUUCUUUUUUUCCCCAAGUUUUUACCAGCUGAUCAUCUACCCCAGUUUUUGAGCUCCAUCUCAAGGAAUCCAACAGUUUCCAUGGCGGAGUAUGUUCAUGCUGAUCAUGCGAUUCAUGGUUGCUUCUCCAAGGUUGAUGUUGGACGCCUCAAGGGAUUCGUCUCUGCAACUACCAUCUUCGUCUUCUUCUUCUUCCUCCUUGCUAUUGCUGCUCUGCUUAAUUGGAUGAAUUUUGUAAGUCUCCCCUAAAACUGUUGCGUACUCCAUUACUUUAAUCAUUUUUAAUGAAUAUAAUCCCAGGAAAAACAAUCAAGCAUUAUCAUAGACUUUUUUUUUUUUUUGGUACAUGUAUAUAAUUAUAAUUAAACAGAUUAUUUCUAAAAUUUAUAAUAUGACCAAAUUUUUUUAUAAUUUAUAAAAAGCGAUAAUUAAAUUGAACUUUAAGAAUUCAAAUUACAAUUUACAUCCAUCCAUCGUCUUUCUCGACAUGUGUAUUAGACGUAUGUUUAACGUAAUUUGUUCGUAUAAUUAUUUUUAGAAAUACCAUAAAAAAAUAUUUACUAUACAUAUUUAUAGUUAAGAAAAUGAUUUGAUCUACUGAAUGAUGUUUUGUGAUUUCACAAAUAAGGUAUAUCCCUUUAGAGUGGAAUAAAAAAUAAGAAUAAAAUUUUUAACCGAAACUGAAAUUUUACAAUAUCAGACUAUCAAAUACUAAGCAGCAUCAAAUUUUCAUGAAAAUUAAUUCAAAGAUUUUCUUUUUUUUUGGGGGGGGGGCUGGGAUCAACUUGUUUCUCAGCCUAUCAUGGGGGCACUCCACCACCACCACCACCACCACUAAGCUCUGAAAUUCGUCAUGAGAGGGCUGAAUUUCCUCUCAACUGUUCUAAUUUAGUUAACCAUACGACGGUGUUUGAGCCCAAAGAAUCAUCCACUAAUAAAACUUGCCCAGACUAUUUCCGGUGGAUCCACCAAGACUUAAAGCAAUGGAAAAGUUCGGGAAUUACAAAAGACAUGAUUGAAAGGGGAAAACCCAUUGCGGAUUUCAGACUCGUCAUUGUCAAUGGAGAGGCUUAUGUGGAGAGGUACAUCAGGUCAUUUCAAACCAGGGAUCUGUUUACAAUAUGGGGUAUUUUGCAGCUUCUAAGGUUGUACCCUGGAAAAAUACCAGAUUUAGACCUUCUCUUUUAUUGUGGGGACAACACUGUAAUCAUGAAAAGUGACUACAAAGGACGCUAUGCUGCAUUAGCACCGCCGGUGUUUCAUUACUGUGGAGAGGAGGCAGCACUGGAUAUUGUGUUCCCUGAUUGGUCCUUUUGGGGAUGGUAAUUUCUGCUACAUCAUUAACGACUUACACUAUAGUAUUAGAGUUGGAUUGAUCUACAAACCCUGUUAUUCGAUAAUAAUAAAAAGAUUCACAUGCCCCAACUUAUAGUAAUGAUAUUUAGUUUGCUUUGUUGUGGCAGGGUAGAGGUUAAUAUAAAGCCAUGGGAGGAGCAAUUGAGGGCAAUAAAGAAAGAGAGGGAGAGGAUCAAGUGGGAAAAGAGGGAACCUUAUGCCUACUGGAAGGGUAACCCAACUUCUCCAGAUAGGGGAGAUCUUUUGAACUGCAACGUUUCAGAUAAACACGACUGGAAUGCUCGGCUUUAUGUGCAGGUAAUUCCUCAAAAAUUAUGUUUCUUCUUUGAUGGGGGCAGAGCCAAGCCAAAUGGGUAACUCUUGUUAUUAAUUCAGGAUUGGGCUAAAGAAAUCCAAGAAGGUUUCAAGCAUUCUAAAUUGGAAGAUCAAUGCACCCAUAGGUAUAUACGAUCACCUUUUUCUUCCCAUUCUUAUGGAAGUAAAUUUCGACUUUAAACAACUUUCACCCUAAUGACAUUUUUAACUUUGUUGCGGUACAAUCAAUAUCAAAGAUAUAAAAUUUAUAUAGAAGGAAGGACGUGGUCCGUAAGUGAGAAAUACAUACUGGCAUGCGAUAGCAUGACCUUGCUGGUAAACCCUAAAUACUAUGAUUUCUUCUCGAGAAGCAUGAUGCCGAUGCAGCAUUUCUGGCCUAUCCGCAACGAAAACAAAUGCAGAGAUCUUAAGUUUGCAGUUGAAUGGGGCAAUAAUUACACUCAAAAGGUGCUAAUUCUCAGCAAAUGAAAACAUGGAUUGCAACGAAUUCAAUCAUUUAGUUAUCAUAAGAAAUAUAUAUACCCUUGCCUGAAUUUCAUUCCAUAAAUUUGCAGGCAGAGGCCAUAGGGAAAGCAGGAAGCAAAUUUAUUGAAGAGGCUUUGACAAUGCAAAACGUGUAUGAUUACAUGUUCCAUUUGUUGAACGAAUACUCUAAACUCUUGAAGUUUAAACCGACAAUACCUCCAAAUGCCCGAAGGCUCUGUUCCGAAACCACAGAGCAAGGCCUAUUGAAGGAGUUCAUGGUGCAGUCGAUGGUGAAGUCUCCUAGUGAUAAACUUCCAUGUGCAUUGCCUCCCCCAUUUAAACCUCAAGCCAUUAAAGCUUCUCUCAAGGCAAAAGAAAAAAUAGCUAGACAAGUGGAGACGUGGGAGACUGAAUAUUGGAAAAAACUAAAAGCAUAAGCAGCAUUAGAUAGCUAGAAACCAAACCUCUCUUCCUCGUUUAGUUUUCAUAAACUUCUUCAAUUAGUUUAGCCAAUUAAAAAAAUAUUCUUGUAUUCCACACUACAGUUUGGUGCUUGUUAGCCAAAGUAACUUCCACCUUUUUCUUUUUAAAACUACAAGCAGUUAGUCUACAUAAAUACCUAUUUUUUGAAUAGUUUUUACUUAGGGAUAAAAUUCCCAUAAACUUUGAAUAUUAUUUUAAAAUAUCUGUUAAGGUAGAGCUCACGUAAAUUUUGAACUCACCUAUUUGUUUGUAUUUAUAUUUGAGGUUGCAUGUAUUUAUAACAUAGAAUCAAAUCUUAUUAUUAUUUUCAUUAUGUGUAUAUAAUUUUCUAUUUUUAUCAAAUUAUAGAUAGAUAUAAACACUUUCAAAAUAAUAUUUAUGUAAUUGUAAACAAAAUAAAAAUUUAAUUGACGGAUCAUAUUAACUCAAUCUUACAUUUAAUAUGAAAUGGAAGUAGAAUGCUUCGGUGGGGGGAAUACUUCAAUUUGAUACAAGGAUGGGCCUGAUCCGUCAGCCCAAUACAUAUUUCUGGAAUGUGAUCCAAUGACUUUAUUUUAUAUAUAUAAGGCCUUUGUUUGUAUGACUUCUUAAUCAAGGACAUUGUGCCAUUGUGGUGUUGGGCACUACAGAAAACAGCAAGUGUUGCGGUGGAAUUGGGUAACCCACCCUUAUCCCACUAACAAGUUUGGUUUUCUAAAUUCUCAAAUUUAGAUAGCAUUUUCCAUCACCAGCCACAGGAAUGGCUGUCCGCAAAUUCAUACAAAAGCGAUCUAAUAAUGUAAUGUAUAUGAUUACAUGUGAUCCGCUUAUCAAAUGAGGAGUAAUGGCAUGCUCGCAACCUUGUAAAUGGAAAAAGAAAUUAUGAUACAUGUCCCGUGGUGAUUGGACUUUCCAUUAUUAAUCUAAAUUUUAAACUCUAAAAACAAAUACAAAUAAAAGUACUACAUGUUGAUUGAGUUUCAGCUUGGUUGAUAUGGGUUUGAAUGCACUAAAGCGCAUUAUCCUCCAUUUUAUGAGUUAGGGAAAGGCUAUGGGUAGUUAUAUGUAUUGUGUCAAAAAGAGCAAAUAUGAUUAAAACUUUUACUGGGAUUAUUCAAAAAAAUAAUAAUAAAAUAAAAGUACAACAUAUGCCAUAAAUAGAGGUUGGCCCGAGUUUAAGUCUAGCCUAUGCAAGGUAUUUAGAUCAAAUUUUUAAGUCUGAGUUUGACUCCUGAAAAAUGGGCUUCUUUUUUUGCCCAAGCCCAGCCUAAUUUAAGAAAGGUAAACUUAAGUCUGGCCCAACCUACUCAUAUUUGAUUUUUAGAUUAGUUUUUAUUUAAAAGUAAUUUUUUAAAUAUAUAUAUAUAAUGCACUAAAAAAAGGCUAAAAUAAUUUUUUUCUUACACAUUAAAAAUUUUUUAUAUUAAAAGACACUACCAUAAAUAUAAUAAAUAUUUUAUUGUAUUAGAUAUAAAAUUUAAAACUUUAUAUUUUGGAUUGGGUUAUUUAGUUGGAUAAAUUUUAUUUUUUUAGGUUUUGGACAAUGAAUUUAAUUGCUAUUAGGUUAAUAAUUUAAUAUAAAUAUAAAUAUAUAUAAUUAUUAUUUAAUAUAUAUAAUUAAUAUAAUAUUUUUAUAACAUAAUAUAUUCGGAUCGGGUAAGACUCAAGUUAAAAAAAUAAUUGCCCAAGGGUUGACCUUUUACAAAAAAAUGGACCUUAGAUUUUACCAAAAUCUAUUUUUUGGGCAUCAUAUUUUGUUUAAACUCUUCUUUUUUCUGACGGACCUUCAAGCUUAGACGGGUGAUCCGACCUAUAUACAAGUCUAAUCACAAAUAGUUUACUUCAUUUGAAUUUUUAAUUAUAGCAAAUAAUUACCAUUUAGAUAAUAUAAUCUCUUAAUUUUUUUAUUGAUAGACUUAAAAAUUAGGAUAAUUAUUUAAUACUGGACCUAUUUAUUUUUAAUGUUUAAAUAUAACUGACAAAAACUCAACUCAACCCCUUCCAGGGGCGAAGGUAGGGGGGCUGGCAUGGGCCCGGCCCCCUUAAAAUAUAAAAUUAUUUUUUAAACCUUUAAAUUUCUUUUAAAAUUUUUAAAUUAGUAAAUAUAAAAUUAUACUUUGACUCUCCUAAAAUUAUAAAAAUUUGAUUUAAUCUUUUAUAAAUUAUAAAGAUAAUAUAAAAUUUGAUUUUCAAGGGAUUAGGGCUUACGGUGAUGAAGUCAUUCAUGGCUGCUUUUCAAAGGUUGGUGUUGGACGCCUCAAGGGAUUGGUCUCAACAACUACUACCUUCAUAUUCUUCUUCUUCCUCCUCCUUAUUGCUGCUCUGCUUAACUGGAUGGAUAUUGUAAGUCUCCCUCAAAACCUGUUGCUUUCCUUCAUCUUUUCACAUUUUUUUUAAAUCAUUUUUUAAUAGGAUGAAAAUACUAAAAAAACCCAUCAUCAAUUGAACCUUUAAUCCAAAAAUAAUAAUCAAUUGGGCUCUUUGAAUUGUCAUUUUUGUUGAGCUCACGACAAAUCGACAUGGUGGGUGACGUGAUGGCUAAACGUGGAAGGCUUAAUUUUUUUUAGGAGAGUUUAAUUGAUUUUUAAUUAUUUUAAGAGGGUUUAAUUGAUUUUAGGAAUUAUAUAAAAAAUUUCAACAAAUUAUAUUUAAAUAUUUAAAUAUUAUAGAAUUAUAGAAAAUUAUAUAAAUAUAAUUAAAAUGAUAAAAAUAUAUAUGAAAUUAAUAAAAACUUAUUGAAAGUAUAAAAAUUUGUAAAAAAUAAAAAAUAUAUAUGUAUAAGAAAAUUUAUAGUUUUUUUUUUUAAGGUUUGGAUUAGAUUUUAAUGGAAGAGCUUGAAGUGUAAUGAUAAUUUGAUUUGGAUGGGUCUCAAGUAAAGGAUCUUAGAAAUAAUAGAUUUAGUAUUUGGUGGUUUAAAGUGAGUGAUGAGUUUUGGUUGAGGAUAGGUGAUCAAUGCACCUUGAUAAGGAUGGGGUAGCAUGUGUGAAAAAAAACAAAAAAUGAGUAGUAAUUUUUAUUAAAAAGUUUUAAAAAUUAGUAGAAAUUACUAAAAAAAUCAAUUAAGCUCUCAAUGUUAUUGUUUUUCCAUGUAAUCCGCCAUGCCAGCACUUAGUGGUCCGUCAGGGGUCUUAAUAGAAAUGACAAUUCAGAGGACCCAAUUGAUUGUUAUUUUUGAAUUAAUAUUCUAAUUGAUUACACUUUUCAACUAGGGGUCCAAUUGAUUUUCGAGGAGUUUUUUUAGUACUUUAACUUUUUAAUAAAAAAAUUUUGAGGGAAAAAAACGAACUUAAUAAUUAAAUUAACUGUAAAUUUAUAAAUUUCAUCUUUUUAUUUUACUGAAAUAAAGAAAUUAAAUUCUUUAGUUUUUUUAUUUUAAUUUGUCAAAUUUCCAUCUUUUUAAUUUAUGAAAAUUAAAAAUUUGAGCUAUUUAUUAAUAAACAUGUGAACUUGAUUGGCUGAUUUUUAAUUAAGUGUUGAAUGUUUUUGUGUAUUUUUUUACAUAAAAAUUGUUUCAACUACUGAUUUUUAAGUUAACAACAAUGUUUAAUUUUUAAUUAGGAUAAGGUCUCACUUUUUAUAAAGUAUUAAGGAUCAAAUUUUCACCAAUUAUACUAAAAGAAUUAACUUAUUUAUUUUUAUAAAAUAAAGGGUAAAAUUCAUAAUUAAAUUUUAAAACACAAAUUUGCAAUGAUAAUUAGUAGGGUAGAGUAAUCGAUUUAAUCGGUUGGUUCGAUCAAUUUUUUUCGAAUCGACUUAACUAAUUUUAAUAUGAGAUAAUUGAUCCGAUCAACUUUAAUUGAGCAAACCAGUCAAACCAAACCAACAUUGAUUUGGUCAGUUCAGUCGAAUUUUUAGUUAACAAAUUCAAAUUUUUUUUAAUUGGGUUUAAAAUUAUUGAGUUGAGUUUAUAUGAUAAAAUAUUUAUUAUAUAUUACAUAAAAUAAAUAUAGUUUAAAUCAUUAGAAAAUAAUAUAAAAUAAGUCCCUACCCAACCAAAUCAAAAUAAAAAUAAUUUGUUGUGUUAAUUUUUUCGAUUUUUCAGUUAAAACUGAGUAUUACUCCCCUAGUAAUUACCACAUAUAUAUUUAUUGAAAUAAUUAAUUUUUAAAAAAGUUACAUAUUUGAAUUUUCAGAAAAUAUAUUCAUUAGUAAAUUUUGUAGAAUAUAUUAAGUGACUAAUUGAGGUAGGUCUUAGUUAUAAAAUUAUCAAAUUAACCAAUCAUUUUACAAAGUAAUAAAUGUUGUGUGAGGGCUUUUUUUUCCUUUUUUUUUUGUGAUAAAUAAGAUAAUAAAGAAACAAAAUUACAUAACACAAUUCAAACCCUCUAGCGGGGAAAUUUCAAAAAUUUGCAACCCUUGCUUAUUUAUGUGAAUCAACUUUUUUAUUCUUUUCUCUUGGGCCAAUACUGGGUCUGUGAUAGUAACAGAAGAAUUCUCCUAAUCAAAGUCGUAGUGAAUUCAUUUGAUGUAGUCUUUUUGAUGACACUAACUACUAAAUAAAAACAUUUUUACAUAAAAUUCAUAAUUUUUUCAUUUUAGUGAAUUAUUUUUAUAUAAGGUUUUAGCAAAUAUAUUUAUUAAAUAAAUUUUUUGACGGUAUAUAUUGUAAUUAUGUUGUACAACUUUACAAAUAAAAUUGAGUUUGUACCAUGGGUCUAUAACUCGUAUUUAAAAUUUUAAAAAUAAAUAAAUUUAAUGUGUAGCAAAAUCUCACUGAGUUCAAAAUAUGUAUACUAUUAUAUUUCCAUAUUUCGAAUUUUGUUAAUAAAAGAUUAAUGCAGAUUUUUUGAUCUACUUGUUUCUCAGCGGGGCACUUCAAUUGGGCAGUCGAUUUUUAACUCACGAACUUCUAAAACUUAUCAUGAGAGGAUUGAAUUUCCUCUAAAUUGCUCUAAUUCAGUUAAUUUACCCCAAACAUGCCCGGAAAAUUACCCGUCGGUGUUCCAGCCCCAAGAAUCAUCGGCUAGAACUUGCCCAGAUUACUUCCGGUGGAUCCACCAAGAUUUAAAGCAAUGGAAGAGUUCGGGGAUUACAGAAGACAUGAUCGAAAGGGGAAAACCCAGUGCGGAUUUCAGGCUCGUCAUUGUCAACGGAAAGGCCUAUGUGGAGAAGUACAAGAAGCCAUAUCAAACCAGGGAUGUAUUUACAAUAUGGGGCAUUUUGCAGCUUCUAAGGUUGUACCCUGGAAAGGUACCAGACUUGGACCUUUUGUUCUAUAGUGGAGACAAGACUAUGAUCAUGAAAAGAGACUACAAAGGACUCAAUGCUACAUCACCACCGCCGGUUUUUCAUUACUGUGGAGAGAAAGCAGCACUGGACAUUGUGUUCCCUGAUUGGACCUUCUGGGGAUGGUAAAUUCUGCAACAUAUUGCCUAAAUUCACACGUUGGUAACGGAGAAAAAAAUGCCAAGUGUUUAUAAAACUUUUUACUGCAAUUAGCUAGUUAAUCAUAUUUAGUUUGCUUUGUCCUGGCAGGGCGGAGGUGAAUAUAAAGCCAUGGGAGGAGACGUUGAGGGCAAUAAAGAAAGGGAGGGAGAGGAUAAAGUGGGAAAAGAGAGAACCUUAUGCCUACUGGAAGGGUAACCCAUACGUUGCUAAAGAUCGGGUAGAACUUUUGAAAUGCAACCUUUCAGAUAAAAACGACUGGAAUGUUCGGAUUUAUAAGCAGGUACUUCCUGAAUUAUUAUGUUUCUUCUUUGUGUCAUUGAUGGGCAGGGCUUUUAUAAAUUGAUUGAAAUCAUAAGAAACUUAGGCAACGCCAAGCCAAAUGGGUAACUCUGUGUUUGUAACCCUAAUUGGUUAUUAAUUCAGGAUUGGGGCAAAGAAAGUCAACAAGGGUUCAAGCAUUCGAAAUUGGAAGAUCAAUGUAGCCAUAGGUAUAUAUAUGCAAAACCCUUUUUUUCUCCUCCUUAUGGAAGGUUUUUAAAAUUUCAAUUUUAAACAGCUUUCAGUCUAAUGAGAUUUUUCAACUUUGCUGCGGUACAAUCUAUAUAAAGAUAUAAAAUCUAUAUAGAAGGAGCAACUUGGUCUGUAAGUGAGAAAUACAUACUGGCAUGUGAUAGCAUGACGUUGUUGAUAAAGCCUAAAUACUGUGAUUUCUUCUCGAGAAGUAUGGUGUCGAUGCAGCAUUACUGGCCUAUCCGUCGCAAAAACAAAUGCAGGGAUCUUAAGUUUGCAGUUGAAUGGGGCAAUAAUCACCCUCGAGAGGUACAUAUCCUCAACAAAUGAAAACAUGGAUUGCAAUGAAUUCAAUCAUGUAUAUCUAUAUCUUAAGAAAAUAUAUAAUGUACCUUUAAUUUCGCUUUAUAAACUUGCAGGCACAGGCCAUGGGGAAAGCAGGAAGCAAAUUUAUCGAAGAGACUCUGACAAUGCGAAAUGUGUAUGACUACAUGUUUCAUUUGUUGAACGAAUACUCCAAACUCUUGAAGUUUAAACCAACAAUACCUUCAAAAGCCCACAGGGUCUGCGCCGAAUCCGUAGCAUGCUUGCAGAAAGGUUUAUGGAAGGAUUUCAUGGUGCAGUCAAUGGUGAAGUCUCCUAGUCAUAAACUUCCAUGUGCGUUGCCUCCCCCAUUUGAACCUCAAGCCAUUCAAGCUUCUCUCGACAGAGAAGACAAAAUAACAAGGCAAGUGGAGACGUUGGAGACAGAAUAUUGGAAAAAAACUAAACCAUAAGAAUCAGUAGAAAGCUAGAAACCUCUCUUUCUCCUUUUUUUCUUUCAUCAACAU